AAUCUCUAUCUAAGAUAACACCGAGCUUCUCAAGCUCCUCAAGGUCCUUGAUUAUUGACAAACAAUGAUCUUGGACUGACUGCCCAUCACACAUUUUAGUCUUAAAAAGUCUUUGAAAAACUUGAUACUUGGCUGCGUGACUUUGUUCACCAAACAACUCUUGUAGGUGAGCCAACAUUUGGUGGGUAGUCAUAAUGUUCUCAUACUGAUGUUGCAAGUCAUCAGACAUAGCAUCCAACAUGUAGUACCUGACUUUGUUAUCGUCAUCCAUCCACUUUUCUAGAGAUGCUCUCUAUUCAACAGUCGGACGUGCUGGUAUGGCAGGUGGGUCCUGGUCCAAGACAUGAGUCAGUUUCUCGAAAUCUAGAAUAAUUCUGUAGUUCCUCAACUAGUCCUUGAAAUUAGAUCCAGUCAAUCUAUGGGUGUCUAGUAUUUUGGUCAGAGGGUUGGACGCAGACAUAUUUUCUAUAGAGAGUCAAAAAUUUUUAGUUAGAUUUUGUAAUCAGACUUAACCAAUUUGUUUAGAGGUUUCAUUUUUAAACAAAUUAGGCU
rnacentral:lncRNA from 1 species